CGGCACGGGUGAGUAAUACAUCGGAACGUGUCUUCUAGUGGGGGAUAACUGCCCGAAAGGGCAGCUAAUACCGCAUGAGACCCGAGGGUGAAAGCGGGGGAUCGUAAGACCUCGCGCUGGAAGAGCGGCCGAUGUCCGAUUAGCUAGUUGGUGAGGUAAAGGCUCACCAAGGCGACGAUCGGUAGCUGGUCUGAGAGGACGACCAGCCACACUGGGACUGAGACACGGCCCAG
rnacentral:rRNA from 1 species